rnacentral:ncRNA from 1 species
AAAAAAACAAGGAUAAGGAUCAGUAAAAGAUUAGAGUCUGUACAGAGAACUGCCGGGCGGUGCAAGGCAGCAGAUCAGAUCUUUGAACUCGCCUUUGAGUUCUUCUGCUGAACGGUUUUCAGAUAGGCAGAAGCGGGAAUUCCCGUUAUAGAAUCACAAGUGCGCUGCACCGUAAGUUAUGUUACCGGGAUGCGGCGAAGAAGAGUGGUACCACGGAAUUUAAUCUUUCGUCUCUUUG